rnacentral:SRP_RNA from 1 species
UGGUGCCUAUGUGGGGGUACCAGUAGUCCCAUCUACUAGUAAGACUAAGGCAGGAGGAUCACUGGAGCCUAGGAGUUUUGGGAUGUAGUGCACUAUGCUGAUUGGGUGUCCUCACUAAGUUCUGCCUCAAUAUGGUGACGUUCUGGGAGUGGGGACCACUAGGCUGCCCAAGGAGGGAUAACUGGCCCAGGUUGGAAACAGAGCAACUCAAAACUCCCGUGCUAAUCAGUAGUGGUAUAUCCUGUGCUAAUCAUCAGUCGUGGGCUAUCUUGUGCCAAUCAU